UCACUUGACCUUGAGUUUUAGGGUCGGCUAAGCCUGACCCCUUCGAGGGUGAGAAAUCCGCCUCACCCGACCCUUGGUCCCGGGGUUGGAUGCGCCCGACCCUUCGAGGGUGGAACUCCGCCUCGCCCGACCCCAAGUCCUGGGGUCAGACGCGCCCGACCCUUCGAGGGUGGAACUCCACCUCGCCCGACCUUAGGUCCCAGGGUCGGAGUAGUCGAAGCCCCCGACAUGUAGGCUAAGCUUGGCUUGUAGUAGUCCCGAGUGUCGAGUAGUCGUAAUGCUGUUUGAGUACUCGUCUUCUGAGGGACAC
rnacentral:lncRNA from 1 species